rnacentral:rRNA from 2 species
GGACUACCAGGGUAUCUAAUCCUGUUUGAUCCCCACGCUUUCGUGCCUCAGCGUCAAUCAUACUUUAGUAAGCUGCCUUCGCAAUUGGUGUUCUGUGACAUAUCUAUGCAUUUCACCGCUACUUGUCACAUUCCGCCUACCUCAAGUAUAUUCAAGCUCUUCAGUAUCAAAGGCACUGCGAUAGUUAAGCUACCGUCUUUCACCCCUGACUUAAAAAGCCGCCUACGCACCCUUUAAACCCAAUAAAUCCGGAUAACGCUCGGAUCCUCCGUAUUACCGCGGCGGCUGGCAC